rnacentral:misc_RNA from 1 species
UCACCCCUCAAGCCUGGCUUGAUGUUGGACGGUCGGUGGCUUGUCUCCACGAGCGACCCCUCCUAAAGAUAACGACGGCGGCUUAUUCACCCCCGGUACGCUGAGCUUCUUUAGUGAGCAUGUACCGGUUCUUACAACGGUGAUAGGACCCGGUCUCCUUCCUUCAUUGGAAACUCCUUCUCAA